CCUCAACGAGCGCGCCAAGCUUUUACGGUGUGCCUGGCUGGCUCCGCGCAAAGUGGUGGCAGAUGCAUCGUGGUGCCUGGCACAUACCAGACUCUGUAUGUGUCAGUUGACUGAGUAAAUGAGUGAACAGCCAGAAAUAAAAUGGGACCAAGAUACAGGAUGAAGUUCUGCUGGACUCUAAGAAACACAUCCAAAUUCUGUAUCGUACCACCAGUCCUUACUUGAAGAUCAACAAGGUCUGUUCCUGCCAUUGUAAGAUCUCUGAGAGGGGUGGAAAUGUUGAUGACAGGCCAGAAUCUGUUCCAAAGACAACUCGUAUGGAAUACACCUCUUAAUCUCCAAGUUGAUUCAUCUGGAUUGCACUUAUAGAGUUCAGAAGAUCAGAAGAUAGAGUUGGGUAACAGCAACAUGUCACUGAAGAUAAGUGAGUGUUGAUGACAGAGUGUACUGGGGAUGAGAAAGGCAGAGAGAAGAGUCAGCUGGCAGUGCUCCGAGGCAUGCAGUAUAUCGUACCUUUCUUAGAAGAGCCUGCCAUCCGC